rnacentral:rRNA from 1 species
CCGGCAAACGGGUGCGGAACACGUACGCAACCUUCCUUUAACUGGAGAAUAGCCCCUCGAAAGAGGGAUUAAUACUCCGUAACAUGUUGAUAAGGCAUCUUAUUAAUAUUAUAGCUCCGGCGGUUAAAGAUGGGCGUGCGCCUGAUUAAGUAGUUGGCGGGGUAACGGCCCACCAAGCCUUCGAUCAGUAACUGGUGUGAGAGCACGACCAGUCACACGGGCACUGAGACACGGGCCCG